GUUGUGCAAAUCUGUGUGAAGUGGGAGGACAUUCUCUUAGGUAAGAAAUAGUUACUGAAUUACAUAAUCAGUGAAAGAACAUCUGCUGAAGGAUGAUACCCUAAGUAUACUGUUGGUAGAUUCCUAACAUAUCUUUGCAUUUGUUGAGAACAAAGGUGAAAGACUGUGCCAGAACAGUAGGAUCAUUGUUUCUACCUAACAAAGCUAUUUCUAUCUUUUACCAUGUUACAGACAGUGGUGACAAUCAUUGAAUUUUGCGUGUGGAUUAGAGAAUUCAGGGACCAAGGAAUCACGAACACAUGUCAUGGAUUUUGUGGACAUUGGACUAGACUAGACCAGCAUGUAAUGAAAGGUUGCACCAAGGACAAUGACAUUAUUUAAAAUGUUGUAGCUUGGUCUUAAUGAUUCUGAUAAGAAAGUGACUCAACUAAGCCUAACUAUUUUGCUUCUGAACUUGUUCAUGCCUAAGUGCUGUUUUUAAAUUGCUGCAAGAAGGUUGAUUAUGUGCAAAUUCCUUUGAGAAGCAAGUGGAACUAAAUCAUACCUUGUUGUUGAGUACUUGUGUAUGGUUAUAAUUUUUUAGAACCUUUACAGUGAACAACUACAAACAAAAUUGUAAAGGACAAGGUAGAAUAAUGUGGUUUCAAUUCAUUCGCAAGAUUCUUAACUUUAUUCCCCUGUAAAGGCUAAAAGCAACUCAAUUAUGCCAACCAAGAUCUCAUUUCCCUUUUAUCAAAUCUUCACUGAUAUUCAUGUCUUAAUCCAAGAACUCUUUUUUAGAUUCUCUUGAAAAUUUAUAACUCAUUUCUGCUGUUUCUUUUUCUCUCAAGUUUGGUAGAGAUGGAGUACCAGACACUGCUCUAAGAACCAACAGUCAAACGAAGUAUCAGCACAUCCAUGUCCCGAGGGGAGAAAACAGAGAAACAAAAGGCACAUGCUCAACCAACUAUUCUCAUAAUAUCACUCAAAUUUCUGCAACUCAAAUUUAUUUUCUUUCUGUUUCCUAUGAUAAAAAAUAAUAAGUAUGUAUCCUUUCAACAAGAAAGGGGAAAGAAAAAACAAAGAGUCAAAGCAAGAAUUGGAAAAAAAAAUACACAAGAAAUAAAAAAGAUGUUAAAAGAACAUGUUCCUUAUCUUAGCAAGUAGUGGCUUGAGUUCGAGAUUGAGUUCUUUCUUAGUAUACAGUUGUGUUGAAUACUCGAACAAGAUUGUGUCCUGUGAAAGAUGUUUUGUUUUCCUCAU
rnacentral:lncRNA from 1 species